UUGACUUCGUGACACCUAAUUGUCUACAAGCAUAACGUAUAGCCAAUUGCACAACAGAUAUGUCCAUGGAAGUAUGUACAUAGUUAAUGAAUGCACCAGAUGAAACUCUCAAAUUGUAGAUGUCCUUCAGGGCUAUAGAUUUUACGAAUGGCAAUCGAGCACCUCCAAUGCUCCAAAUUUUCUAUUACAUUUCAGGAAUCAUCGAAAGUGAGUAAAAGUUUCAGUAGAAAAACAAGAGCACGUGGGAAAAUCUUGAACAAGAUAGAUGAGAAAGAAACAGAAGAGGAAAAUCUCACCAUCUCAGCCUCCUAUGUCACUAGUACCAAAAACUGAUUUGCUUUAAGAAUAGGUUUUUAUAUGAGUACAGGGGUGGCGAAGGUCAACCAGCACUAGGGACCUCCAUAAGGGUCCUACGUCCUCUAUAGAAUGUUCAGUUGCAUCACCUGUGACCUGAAGGUUGCAAGCCAGUUGGCACAAUCCCGCAGGAAGUCCUUUCACAUGACAUAUGCCGCAACUAGGCAACACGAGUUGAUCGGCAAUUCACUCGCAAUGUGAAUCAAACUCAUGACCUCAUGGAAGACAAGGAAAACCUUUCUAUUGCUGGACCAACUACCCUGGUGGUAAUAGGUUAUCUACAUUUAAUCACCAAAAAUUCAGAACAAAAACAAUUGAGAAAACAGCCAAUUAGGAACUCAUGACCUUGUGGAAGACAAGGAAACCCUUUUACUGCUAGAUCAACUACCCUGGUGGUGAUAGGUUAUCUACAUUUAAUCACCAAAAAUUCAGAACAAAAACAAUUGAGAAAA
rnacentral:lncRNA from 1 species